GCGCCAGUAGCUCAGCUGGAUAGAGUACCUGGCUACGAACCAGGGGGUCGGAGGUUCGAAUCCUUCCGGGCGCGCCA
rnacentral:tRNA from 1 species